rnacentral:lncRNA from 1 species
GGACAUUAGGGGUUGAAGGGAAAAAUGGUAAGUACAUCAAAAUGUACUCUACAAGCGUAGGAGGUAGAGGUAUUGUCGGUGUUUAAACCCGGCAACCUACCAAGGGGGAUUCCCGAGGUAGUGUUUUGGUUAAUGGGGCUCGUCGAGAUCAGAAAUUCGAAGGUAAAUGCAGACACACAAUUUAGAUAGGUUCAAGCUACUAGAUUAGGUAAUACCCUACGUCCUGUGUGUUGGUUGGAUGGAAUUGCUUUGGAGGGGAUCCUUGCCUCACCUUUAUAUUGCCAGGGGUAGGAUUACAGGUCGGUUGGUCAUAUUACUACGAGUAUUUUCUAAUCCUCGACUAGUUCCUGUCUUUCCAUGUAGACUACACCGUCAUGCGCCAUAGUCUCCAUGUCAGAUACGUCUUGAUGUCAUAUUUAGGACUGUCCAAACCUUCUGGUGGGCCUAUAGAUAUAUGUACAACAAGCCGUUGAGUACUUUUUAG